GAUGAACGCUGGCGGCGUACCUAAUACAUGCAAGUCGAGCGAACAGACGAGGAGCUUGCUCCUCUGACGUUAGCGGCGGACGGGUGAGUAACACGUGGAUAACCUACCUAUAAGACUGGGAUAACUUCGGGAAACCGGAGCUAAUACCGGAUAAUAUAUUGAACCGCAUGGUUCAAUAGUGAAAGACGGUUUUGCUGUCACUUAUAGAUGGAUCCGCGCCGCAUUAGCUAGUUGGUAAGGUAACGGCUUACCAAGGCGACGAUGCGUAGCCGACCUGAGAGGGUGAUCGGCCACACUGGAACUGAGACACGGUCCAGACUCCUACGGGAGGCAGCAGUAGGGAAUCUUCCGCAGUGGGCGAAAGCCUGACGGAGCAACGCCGCGUGAGUGAUGAAGGUCUUCGGAUCGUAAAACUCUGUUAUUAGGGAAGAACAAAUGUGUAAGUAACUAUGCACGUCUUGACGGUACCUAAUCAGAAAGCCACGGCUAACUACGUG
rnacentral:rRNA from 1 species